rnacentral:misc_RNA from 1 species
GAUGAAGAACGUAGCGAAAUGCGAUACGUAAUGUGAAUUGCAGAAUUCAGUGAAUCAUCGAAUCUUUGAACGCACAUUGCGCCCGCCAGCACUCUGGCGGGCAUGCCUGUUCGAGCGUCAUUUCAACCAUCAAGCCCCAGGCUUGCGUUGGAGCCCUGCGGCUGCCGCAGCCUCCUAAAAGCAGUGGCGGGCUCGCUAUCACACCGAGUGCAGUAGAUUACUCUUCGCUCAGGGCGUGCAGCGGGUUCCGGCCGUGAACCCCCCUACUUUUAAAGGUUGACCUCGGAUCAGGUAGGAAUACCCGCUGAACUUAAGCAUAUCAAUAAGCGGAGGA